rnacentral:misc_RNA from 1 species
AAAAUGUCUCAAAUAUUUGAAUUAAAAAUGUCACAUGAUUAGUUGAAAAAAAAUUAUUAGAAAAAGAAAAACAUACUGGAGCACAACAGUAGUAUGUUAAUGAAAAAAUGUCAAAUCAUAAACAUUCAAAAUUGACUUAUUAUAAGGGGUCUUUAAUAUACGUGCUUGUUAGAUACUGAAAAUUAGGAAAUACAAGAGCAGACUUUCUCACAGCCCUUUCACUUCUCAAAUCACUGUUUAAUUGAACUAAGAAUAUACAAACAUGCAGAUAAAUUCUAAAUAUCCAGAGAGUCAAGCUCCCUAGCCCAAGCAAUACUGCUGAAGAAAAUUUAUAAAACUUAUCAUUUCCAUCCCUUUCUCCCUCUAUUUAUAGAUUCUUCAGCUCCUUUUAUCUGUUAGAAGAAUCUACGUGACUCUGUUUCUGCAUUCUGCUCGAACAGAAUUGGCUCUUCUAACCAUAUUCCAGCUCAGCAUUUCCAGAAGCUGUUACCGCUCCCUUCUUCUUCGAAAAUAUACUCUCAGUUCUCUUGGGCCCAACUUCUUGCCCUGAUUCAUAACAGAAGAAAACUACUUAAAUUGAAUGAUAUGAAAAGCUGCGAUGUAUUAUCAUAUCCAAUCUGAAUUUGGAGAAUCCUAAAAGUUCAAAGUUAAAAUUCUCUUCUUUAAAGGGUGCAUGGAUAUUUUCUGGAUAGGAGUCUGAAACUCAAAAGAAGAAUUUAGUCAUCUGGAGUUGUCCCCUAUAAAUAUUUUAGAUCCUUAUAUUUUUAGAUUACUACUUCUCAUAUUUGAUGAAACUAGAUCUGUUAUUUGCCCCAAUCUAAUGGUAAUGGACUUUCAACUGCCAUUGGCCAAAUUGCACUGAACCCUGUUGGAGUAUCCCAGUUAUGCUUCUCAGAAAAAUGGGAGGGGUUGAAUGAAGGGCCAUUAUAAUUAAAAGAAAAGGGGUAAAGUAAAAGUAGUAAUA